AACGCGAAGAACCUUUACCAGGGCUUGACAUCCUCUGACGACGUAAGAGAUUACGUUUUCCCUUCGGGACAGAGAGCAGGUGUGCAUGGUUGUCGUCAGCUCGUGUCGUGAGAUGUUGGGUUAAGUCCCGCAACGAGCGCAACCCCUAUUGUCAGUUGCCAGCAUGAAAGAUGGGCACUCUGGCGAGACUGCCGUUGACAAAACGGAGGAAGGUGGGACGACGUCAAAUCAUCAUGCCCCUUAUGUCCUGGGCUACACACGUACUACAAUGGCAACAACAGAGGGCAGCCAAACCGCGAGGUUGAGCGAAUCCCAAAAUGUUGUCUCAGUUCAGAUUGCAGGCUGAAACUCGCCUGCAUGAAGUCGGAAUUGCUAGUAAUGGCAGGUCAGCAUACUGCCGUCGAGUACGUUCCCGGGCCUU
rnacentral:rRNA from 1 species